rnacentral:lncRNA from 1 species
GUAAAACACUUUUCAAAGUUAUCCCUUGUUCAUCAUAACUUUUAAGUUGUGAUAUCAUCCAUGAAAAAUGAUCGAAGUGACAUGAAAACUGUAGCCACUAAUUUCUCGUCAAACGGUUUUUGACGAAUACUAAAUGUCUUUCCUACUUCGUUAUGGCAUAAUAGGGUAUGUUCUAGAAUUAAAUCAGCAGUGGCUUCCCGGGGGCAGAAAUAGCACAUAUAACCACCUACAAUAAAAUAAUUUAAACAAUAUUAACUAUAUUUACUAUUUACUUCAGGAUAAAUU